CCUACGGGGGGCUGCAGUAGGGAAUAUUGCUCAAUGGGGGAAACCCUGAAGCAGCAACGCCGCGUGGAGGAUGAAGGUUUUCGGAUUGUAAACUCCUUUUGAUAUAGAAGUUAAUGACGGUAUCUAACGAAUAAGCACCGGCUAACUCCGUGCCAGCAGCCGCGGUAAUACGGGGGGUGCAAGCGUUACUCGGAAUCACUGGGCGUAAAGCGCGCGUAGGCGGGUUAGCAAGUCAGAUGUGAAAUCCUAUGGCUUAACCAUAGAACUGCAUUUGAAACUGUUAUUCUAGAGUAUGGGAGAGGUAGGUGGAAUUCUUGGUGUAGGGGUAAAAUCCGUAGAGAUCAAGAGGAAUACUCAUUGCGAAGGCGACCUGCUAGAACAUAACUGACGCUGAUGCGCGAAAGCGUGGGGAGCAAACAGGAUUAGAUACCCUAGUAGUC
rnacentral:rRNA from 1 species